rnacentral:rRNA from 1 species
UACGAGGGGGGCGAGCGUUGUUCGGAAUUAUUGGGCGUAAAGGGUGCGUAGGCGGUUUGGUAAGUCUUAUGUGAAAUCUAUGGGCUCAACUCAUAGUCUGCAUGAGAAACUGCCGGGCUUGAGUAUGGGAGAGGUGAGUGGAAUUCCUGGUGUAGCGGUGAAAUGCGUAGAUAUCUGGAGGAACACCGGUGGCGAAGGCGGCAUCCUGGACCAACACUGACACUGAGGAGCGAAAGCCAGGGGAGCAAACGGG